AUGAGUGCUGACAGCGCGAGAUCUCACCCUCUCAUCGAUUUGUUCAUACCAACUAUCGACAGCGAGCACGGCAUAUGCUACACCCAUCCUGAGAAACUUCCAGGUAUCACACUGAGUGGCCUAAGCAAGCAUUUCUUCCAGCGCAAUUCCAGGGCGUUCAAAAGGGGCACGUGGACACGUCGCAAGAUACUGUUAGAGUGCGGCAUGCACACAAUGUGGCACAAGACCGGCAAUACCUUGCCGGUGAUGGUCAAUGGCCGGCAGACGGGCAGCAAAAAGGUUCUGGUGCUGCACACCAACAAGAACUUCGACCAUUCCGGCAAAAAAAAGAACUUCGACCAGCAGAGGACAAACUGGGUGAUGCAUCAGUACCACCUCGGGGACGUGGAGCAAGAGAAGGAGUGGGAGCUGGUCCUCCGCAAGAUUUUCUACCAGACGAACACUAGGGCCAGGACUAAAAAGAUUAUAAGUCGAGCAAGUUUCAACUGGGCUGUAGACUGCCCAUGCUUGGUUUUGUUUUUAACAGGCCUAGCCCAUGACGACAACGGGGAACAAAGAUCCAGCAGAUUUUUUACUGAAUCAAACACAUAG
rnacentral:rRNA from 1 species